UUACUUUCAAGUUACUUUCUGAAUAAAAACAAAUAGCACAUUUUCUUUACAGUUAUUGGUAUUAAACGUAAUUAAACAAAAUCAUUAUACAUUUUUCAUCAGGAUAUCCACCAAACGUCGCGUAUUCAUCACGUACGUCAUAGCAGAGGUAAAUUCACUAAUUUGUAAAAUAUAUUGUAUAGAUUUCCUCAACGUUCUUUCAAGAAAAUAAGCAAAAUUGUUGUUGCCAUUAUCACUGAAUAACUACAUAAUUAGACAUAAUAUUGCAUAUCUUAAGGUGGCCCAGCGGAGUCUUUUUGAGUAAUGGUAAUUUCAAGAUUUAGAUUUUUAGUUGUUAAGAAACAAAGAGUGUUUUACGUACGUGAAACAGUAUCUAAAAUUUUCGUACUAACGUUACACACCUACCUUGCUAUUGCAACACCGACGUUUCAACACGGCAGAUCCAAAACUACAUCGG